rnacentral:rRNA from 1 species
GACAGAGGGUGCAAACGUUGUUCGGAUUUACUGGGCGUAAAGCGCGUGUAGGCGGCUUUGCAAAUCGGAUGUGAAAGCCCACGGCUCAACCGUGGAAGUGCAUCCGAAACUGCAUGGCUUGAGUCUCGGAGAGGAAGGUGGAAUGCUUGGUGUAGAGGUGAAAUUCGUAGAUAUCAAGCAGAACACCUGCGGCGAAGGCGGCCUUCUGGACGAUGACUGACGCUGAGACGCGAAAGCGUGGGGAGCAAACAGG